UGAGGAAUAUUGGUCAAUGGGCGGGAGCCUGAACCAGCCAAGCCGCGUGGAGGAAGAAGGUACAGAGUAUCGUAAACUCCUUUUGUCAGGGGAUAAAAGGCGCCACGAGUGGCGUUCUGAAGGUACCUGAAGAAAAAGCAUCGGCUAACUCCGUGCCAGCAGCCGCGGUAAUACGGAGGAUGCGAGCGUUAUCCGGAUUUAUUGGGUUUAAAGGGUGCGUAGGCGGUCUUUUAAGUCAGCGGUGAAAAGCCCGGGGCUCAACCCCGGCGAGCCGUUGAUACUGGGAGACUGGAGAGGAAGAGAGACAUGCGGAAUUCGCGGUGUAGCGGUGGAAUGCUUAGAUAUCACGCAGAACUCCGAUUGCGAAGGCAGCAUACCGGCGCUCAACUGACGCUGAGGCACGAAAGCGUGGGGAUCGAACAGGAUUAGAUACC
rnacentral:rRNA from 1 species